rnacentral:rRNA from 1 species
GAUGAACGCUAGCUACAGGCUUAACACAUGCAAGUCGAGGGGAAACGACAUCGAAAGCUUGCUUUUGAUGGGCGUCGACCGGCGCACGGGUGAGUAACGCGUAUCCAACCUGCCCACCACUUGGGGAUAACCUUGCGAAAGUAAGACUAAUACCCAAUGAUAUCUCUAGAAGACAUCUGAAGGAGAUUAAAGAUUUAUCGGUGAUGGAUGGGGAUGCGUCUGAUUAGCUUGUUGGCGGGGUAACGGCCCACCAAGGCUACGAUCAGUAGGGGUUCUGAGAGGAAGGUCCCCCACAUUGGAACUGAGACACGGUCCAAACUCCUACGGGAGGCAGCAGUGAGGAAUAUUGGUCAAUGGGCGAGAGCCUGAACCAGCCAAGUAGCGUGCAGGAUGACGGCCCUAUGGGUUGUAAACUGCUUUUAUAAGGGAAUAAAGUGAGCCUCGUGAGGCUUUUUGCAUGUACCUUAUGAAUAGGGACCGGCUAAUUCCGUGCCAGCCGCCGCAGUAA